rnacentral:rRNA from 1 species
AGCGGCGGACGGGUGAGUAACGCGUGGGUAACCUGCCUCAUACAGGGGGAUAACAGUUAGAAAUGACUGCUAAUACCGCAUAAGACCACGGUACCGCAUGGUACAGUGGUAAAAACUCCGGCGGUAUGAGAUGGACCCGCGUCUGAUUAGGUAGUUGGUGGGGUAACGGCCUACCAAGCCGACGAUCAGUAGCCGACCUGAGAGGGUGACCGGCCACAUUGGGACUGAGACACGGCCCAG